CCUACGGGAGGCAGCAGUAGGGAAUUUUCCGCAAUGGGCGAAAGCCUGACGGAGCAAUACCGCGUGAGGGAUGACGGCCUGUGGGUUGUAAACCUCUUUUCUCAAGGAAGAAGUUCUGACGGUACUUGAGGAAUAAGCAUCGGCUAACUCUGUGCCAGCAGCCGCGGUAAUACAGAGGAUGCAAGCGUUAUCCGGAAUCACUGGGCAUAAAGCGUCUGUAGGUUGUUUAGUAAGUCUGCUGUUAAAGACUGGGGCUUAACCCCAGAAAAGCAGUGGAAACUGCUAGACUCGAGUGUGGUAGAGGUAGAGGGAAUUCCUAGUGUAGCGGUGAAAUGCGUAGAUAUUAGGAAGAACACCAAUGGCGAAGGCACUCUACUGGGCCAUAACUGACACUGAGAGACGACAGCUAGGGGAGCAAACGGGAUUAGAUACCCCGGUAGUCCUAGCCGUAAACGAUGGAUACUAGAUGUUGCACGUAUUAACCCGUGCAGUAUCGUAGCUAAGGCGUUAAGUAUCCCGCCUGGGAAGUACGCUCGCAAAGAGUGAAACUCAAAUAGAAGUAGACGGCGUGAGACGUGCCGAACGGACGACGACGAGGGAGGUAGG
rnacentral:rRNA from 1 species